rnacentral:rRNA from 1 species
CCUACGGGAGGCAGCAGUGAGGAAUAUUGGUCAAUGGGCGGAAGCCUGAACCAGCCAAGUCGCGUGAGGGAAUAAGGCCCUACGGGUCGUAAACCUCUUUUGCCGGGGAGCAAGGGCGGGGACGUGUCCCGGCACGGAGAGUACCCGGAGAAAAAGCAUCGGCUAACUCCGUGCCAGCAGCCGCGGUAAUACGGGGGAUGGGAUCGUUAUCGGGAUUUAUUGGGGUAAAAGGGUGCGUAGGCGGGCUUUUAAGUUAGCGGGAAAAGUUCGGGGCUCAACCCCGUCCGGCCGUUGAAACUGGGGGCCUUGAGUGGACGAGAGGAAGGCGGAAUGCGUGGUGUAGCGGUGAAAUGCAUAGAUAUCACGCAGAACCCCGAUUGCGAAGGCAGCCUACCGGCGCCCUACUGACGCUGAGGCACGAAAGUGCGGGGAUCAAACAGGAUUAGAUACCCCAGUAGUC